rnacentral:rRNA from 1 species
AGAGUUUGAUCCUGGCUCAGGAUGAACGCUGGCGGCGUGCCUAACACAUGCAAGUCGAGCGAUUUACUUCGGUAAAGAGCGGCGGACGGGUGAGUAACGCGUGGGUAACCUGCCCUGUACACACGGAUAACAUACCGAAAGGUAUGCUAAUACGAGAUAAUAUGCUUUUAUCGCAUGGUAGAAGUAUCAAAGCUUUUGCGGUACAGGAUGGACCCGCGUCUGAUUAGCUAGUUGGUGAGGUAACGGCUUACCAAGGCGACGAUCAGUAGCCGACCUGAGAGGGUGAUCGGCCACAUUGGAACUGGGACACGGUCCAAACUCCUACGGGAGGCAGCAGUGGGGAAUAUUGCACAAUGGGCGAAAGCCUGAUGCAGCAACGCCGCGUGAGCGAUGAAGGCCUUCGGGUCGUAAAGCUCUGUCCUCAAGGAAGAUAAUGACGGNACUUGAGGAGGAAGCCCCGGCUAACUACGUGCCAGCAGCCGCGGUAAGAGACACUGU